rnacentral:rRNA from 1 species
UUUUGUAUAAUGGGUCAGCGACUUAUAUUCUGUAGCAAGGUUAACCGCAUAGGGGAGCCGGAGGGAAACCGAGUCUUAAUUGGGCGUUAAGUUGCAGGGUAUAGACCCGAAACCCGGUGAUCUAGCCAUGGGCAGGUUGAAGGUUGGGUAACACUAACUGGAGGACCGAACCGACUAAUGUUGAAAAAUUAGCGGAUGACCUGUGGCUGGGGGUGAAAGGCCAAUCAAACCGGGAGAUAGCUGGUUCUCCCCGAAAGCUAUUUAGGUAGCGCCUCGUGAAUUCAUCUCCGGGGGUAGAGCACUGUUUCGGCUAGGGGGCCAUCCCGGCUUACCAACCCGAUGCAAACUGCGAAUACCGGAGAAUGUUAUCACGGGAGACACACGGCGGGUGCUAACGUCCGUCGUGAAGAGGGAAACAACCCAGACCGCCAGCUAAGGUCCCAAAGUCAUGGUUAAGUGGGAAACGAUGUGGGAAGGCCCAGACAGCCAGGAUGUUGGCUUAGAAGCAGCCAUCAUUUAAAGAAAGCGUAAUAGCUCACUGGUCGAGUCGGCCUGCGCGGAAGAUGUAACGGGGCUAAACCAUGCACCGAAGCUGCGGCAGCGACGCUUAUGCGUUGUUGGGUAGGGGAGCGUUCUGUAAGCCUG